rnacentral:rRNA from 1 species
UACGUAAGGUCCGAGCGUUGUCCGGAAUCAUUGGGCGUAAAGGGUACGUAGGCGGAUAAGCAAGUUAGAAGUGAAAUCCUAUAGCUCAACUAUAGUAAGCUUUUAAAACUGCUCAUCUUGAGGUAUGGAAGGGAAAGUGGAAUUCCUAGUGUAGCGGUGAAAUGCGCAGAUAUUAGGAGGAAUACCGGUGGCGAAGGCGACUUUCUGGCCAUAAACUGACGCUGAGGUACGAAAGCGUGGGUAGCAAACAGGAUUAGAUAC